CUCAAAUUCUUUGACAGUUCUUUCCUCAAAAGCGGAGCCUAAUUCCCCUCUCAUUGAGUGUCGGUUGGACUUGGUGGCACUUUUAAUGAGUAGAACGUGGCAGAAUGAUGGUUUGUGACUUCAGAGCUGAGGACAUAGAAAAUAUUGUGGCUUCCUCCCUGUUCUCUUUCUUGGACCACUUGUUCUGGGGAAGCCAUGUCAUGAGGAUGCUUAAAUGACCUUGUGAAGAGAUCCAUGUGGUGAGGAGCUGAGGCCUCUUGCCAACAUCCACGUGAGCGUGCCAUCUUGGAAGUGGAUUCUUCAGCCCCAAUCAAACCUUCAGAUGCAGGUGCAGUCAACAUCCUGACUGCAACCUCAUGAGAGACCCUGAGCCAAAACCAUGCAGAACUCUUUGCCUCUGGAUUCUGCAGUUGGUGGUAAAGUACUGAAACAUGCAGGCCUCAGGGCUUCCCUUUAUCUGUGAAACUGCAGAAGAGGCUGGCUUAGGCGAACUCAGGUGUGGAAGCUGCUGAGGGAGCCAGAAACCUCGGCGUAGACUUUUUCUUUGUGAGUAGAGAAGACUGGCUCCUAAAGGGGAUCAACUGAUAUUUCUAAACUCCCAGGGAGUGGAGCUUCCACGAGGCAUCGCGAUUCAUUGGCCAGAAGUAUCUGCUCCAGCUGCCAGGCCACAGUUAUCAGUCCAGAAAUAGUUCUGAAAAUGAGGCCAGAACCCACGUUAAUGAAGCCUGAUUGCCUCAGAAUUAUUGUAUGAUGAAUUAGCAGCUUUGCCAGUAGCCCACGUGUGCGGGGUCAGUGACAAUUUAUGGUGAGUCACAUUUAAGUAGUUUCAUUCAAUUCAACCAGCAUUUACUGCAUCUACUAAGCACAGAGCCCUGGGCAGGCCCAGUGCAAGCAAAGGGACUGAAUUGAACAUCAAAUGACAGGGGUUCUAGGCCUACCUCUGCCAUAACGUUCUGGACAGGGAGAAGGGAGAGCGACAAGGAUUGCCACAGAAAAGGCUUAGGGAAGCAAAGCUUCACAAUGGCUGGCUUACCAACGCCAAGGAAAGCAAAAUGAAUUUCAGACCAACACUAGUCAAAAUUGAUAUCUAGAUGUCUAUAUGAGUCAGUAUCCUUUGGUUGCAAUUGACAGAAACCCAACUCUAACUAGUUUAACCAUGAACUACAAAGACAAAAACAAUGACAAACAAAAAAGAAAAUGUAAAGAAUUAUUUAACUGCAACAUUCAAUGGGUUGUCUAACAUCAGGAAUGGCUGGAUCCAGGUACUCAAAUGAUGGCCUUUGUCUUUGUUUUCUUCUAUAUCUGGUUUAUUCUUAGGCAUUCUUAUCAUCAUAGAUUGGGUUCCCCUACUCACCUACCACCACCCAAAGCAGUCUCCAGUGCAGGUAGUUUAUUUAGGAGAUGUGGCAACCAUGAAAAUGCACCACUCAGAUCUUAUGCUGCAGGAAGCAUCAUUGACUGACAGCCCUGCCAUUACCCUUCUGGAUGCACCACCAUGUUCAUGUGAAAGCCCCACUUCCCAUGGGCUGCUCCCAGUGAAUGACUGAGCACGGCGAGGCCAUUAAGGCAAGCCCAUUCCUGGACGAUGCAGGACUCCUCUGACACGUGGCUUUGAGUUGAGAAUCCCUCAUUGGCCUGGCCAUACUUGUCUUGGAACAGUGCUACGGUCUGUGAGUUUUCCUGACCAAUUAACCCUGCUUCCCUCUCCCCUUUACAGGAUGAGACCUAUCUGCUGCAGCUUCUCCUCUUUUGCCUUCACAAAUGUUUCUCCCAAUAAAGCUCUUGCACGUCUAAUCUCAUCUUGGCACCUUCUUCUCAGAGGCACCAAAUCAACACAGGAGGUAAUCUCAGGAAGCAUAAGGGAGAAAAUGGGGAAGGUGAGACAGAUAAGGGAGAAAAGUCAAUAGAAGGUGCACUAAUGAGCAGGUGACUGUUGUGGGCAAGUCAUCCUGGGGUUUUCUUAGAGACCAUGUGGGUCAUGCUCAGGAUCAUCCCACCAGAAGGCAGGGACCCUAUGGCACUUAUCUACUGUUUUCCAUUUCCCACUGGCAGAAGGUUUUCCAAGUGUAUCAGCUCUCUCACACUUCAGAGUUGCAGAGAAGUGUUCUGGGGCACCAACAAAAGACCAGGCAGAGAAGAAGGGAGAUAUAGAUGCCUGAGGUUGGAAACAGCCUAUUAUGGCUGUAGGUAAACUCAGGUGGGCCCGGGGAAUAUGGUGCAGGGCGUCAACAGCAUCUACUACAGUCAUGGUGGGAAAAAAGUAAUAAAGCACUACUGGUGGCUUACAAUAUCCCUAAAGAUAGCAAUUCCAGAGAAUGUUUCUCUCCCGAGAAUUUCCUGGGAGUGCCUCAGAUUGGCCAAACUCAUGUCACAUGGCCAUCGCUAAGCCAAUCACUGUGCCUGUGGAAAUGGAGUGUCCUGUCACACUGGGGUGUAUGAUCCAGCUGCCUCUCCAACUCACAUCUACUGAGAAUGGAGCAGGGAUGGCUCCCUGAAUGAUGUGCUGAGCAGAUGAAAAUCUUAUCACCACUACUGGAUACGGUCUUAAAGCUUGAAGAUGGAGGAAGAUUCCUGAUGGCAGAACUUUUCAGCAUCCGGUCAGGAGGUGCACACAGCUAAUGCCUAGAGACCUCAGUAUGACAUGGAUUCUCGGGAGCUAAGUUCACCCUAUAGCACACUGGAUACAAUUACCAGAUGUCACUUACUGGUGGGGAAGCAGCCCUUUGCUACCUCCAUGCUGAGCUUUCAUUAGCAGAGCCUUCGUUGGCUGGGUCCUCAGCGACUCAGGACAUGGGGAGCUGGAAUGUGGAAAUGGCAUCUUCUCAUUCCUAGACUCAUUGUCAGCCCUAGAGAAUGGCUGGCAAUCUCAAGGAUGCUGUUCUCCAGCUGCUUUCCACACUUUUCUUCAGCCACGGGCACAGGCCAUAUUUGUGUUUGGUUUGGGAGGUGGCCUCUGCCCCAGUGCCCUGUGGUGAGGAAACAGGAGAAGUGUACAAUUAACAAUUAACAGCUUUAUCUCUACUCAUAUGUAAGAGACGUAAUUAGCUGGCUCCAUCUGUUACUGAUACCUGCUGGAGUCAGCCAUUCACACUUCAGCCAGAUAUUACAGUGAGUGGGAGGGCCUGAAAAGGAAACAUUUCAAAAUAACUCACCUUUCCUUGUUUCAGACAUCCUACCCCCGUUCAGUCGGUCUCCAACUUUGCUUUCCUCAGGUGUACACAAUUUGCUGUCAGUUGGCAAGGAAGGGUGUUAGCUAACGAAUAUGGAAGCCAAUGGUGUGCAUGAUUUUCCCAGAAGCUGAGCUUUGAUUUAAAGAGAGAAGACUUCGUGUCUCUUGUGGCAGUAGUGGGGCACUGUCCCAGCUAGGGCCACAUCGCAGUACGCUGAUUGGUCUCAGUACUGAGAUGAAAUAUUUUCAGAGGGAAAGGCUAAAUUUGGAAGGACCAGCUGGAGCCUCUAGAGUAAGUCACUGGCCCAAGAUCAAUGUUACAAAGGUAGGAAGGAGAUGAGCUGAGACUUGCCUCUAAGCCUAUCCAACUCCAAAGUCCAUUUUCUAAAUCAUGACACAUCACUGAUGUUGGGGGAAGUUUUACGGACAUGAUGGUCUCAUGGGACUUAAGAAAGUCCAAGACCACUUUUAUUUUUGGAAGUCAAAACAGCCAUGCAAAGAUGAGGCAUUUAAAAAGAAAUAUUUCCACCUAGGUAAUUAAUGCUUUUAAUGUAAAAAGGUACAAUGCAAUAUAGUUGGGUUAUUCACAAGAUAAUUACAGGACUCAUAAAAUAUUAAUUCACAGCACAGUAUAAGUGGCAGAGCCUGAAUGGGG
ensembl:lncRNA